GCAUCGAUGAUUCAGUGGUAGAAUGCUCGCCUGCCACGCGGGCGGCCCGGGUUCGAUUCCCGGUCGAUGCA
rnacentral:tRNA from 1 species